AACAACAACAACAACAGAAUAAAUUAUAAAUAACUUUGACCCAAGCAUAAGCCGAGGGAGGCUUUUCAGCCUAAAAAAGGGCUAAAAACUCAUCUUAUACUCGAAUAUAUAUGGUACUUCUGUGAUUUGUAACGAAGAUGGGAAAGCCAAAUUUACUGAAAAUAAAUGUUGAUGCCAUAAUAGUUAAACUGCUGAGGGAGAAAUUAUCAUCUAGAUGCACUAAGAUUUGAGUCAUCAAAUGGUAAAUCUUGGCAGUCACUUUAGGACAACAGAAUAUAUGUGUCAUUGUUCAAUGCUUAUUACAUGAACUAUCUAAGGACACUGCAAUUGUCAUCAAACAUAAAAGUUUGGGUUGUCUAGUUUUUCAAAAAAUUAAAGAUUACUAAUUGUUAGCAGAUAAGAUAAAAGAGUCCACACUCAGAGCUUAUCUCUUCUGGCAUCUUCUAGAUGUAAUAUAGUGGGUUUUCAGAAAUAUAAAUAGGGAGGGGGUAGAUCUGAGCUGAGCUGUUUAAUCCUUUCACCCAAACAUGAUUAUCAAAGAAUCCCAACCCUGUGAACAUUGAAAGAGGUCUCAAAUGGAGCUUCCCUUAGUACAAAUUGGAAAAAAAAUCAUUGGGGAGAUGAAGUUUAAUUCUGCUAUGUGGUUAUAAUAAACCAUAAGCUUCUCCUCCGUAGUCAUUUACAAACAAAUAUGCACACCAAUUAAAUUCAUGUAGUUUAAGAUGGUAUCAGAUAAUUGUCAGAUAAUUUGAAUCAAAGAUGGGAACUUGGCACUCUUUAGGUCUGCCAAGGUUUCCACUGAAGCCUCCUUCAUUGCCAAAUAACUUGACAGGGUAUAAUUCCCAUUUUUGAUGUUCUUAGGAAAACCCUAAGCCAUUAGGUGGAAAAAAUAGCCUUUUUUUAUCUUCAAAAUUGAAAAAUGGGCAAAUGCAGCCCAGGAGUUGGGGUUGUAAAAUGAGAGGGGACACUAGGACAGCCAAGACAAAGAUACUCUUGGAUCCCAAGAGGAGCUACAUUAUAACUGCUAAUGAAGUUUAGAUUUUACUGUCCUUUUCCUUGAUCCCAACAUGACCAAGAAGGGAAUGGCCUCUGCUGCACUGAGAUUCCUCUAUACCAACUGAACUACAGCAGCAGAUACAAAAUGUAAGCCUGUGAAUCCAACAUCAUCACUUUUCCUUUCUCUUGCAUAAUUUUAGAAAACCCUCUUUUACCUGAUGAAGAAGUCAGUGGAGCUUUGGAAGCUCGUCGGGUGUGGUUUGUGCAUUUAUGAUUGGGCAACAAAUGUAUCACUCUCUUGUAAAUUUUGUAUUUUGCUUUAUUUCAAUACAGAGUGAUUACCUUCUUGACAAGUUUUAAUUAUCAGGUGGUAAUUAGAAACUACCCUUUGGUGUGAUUAAAGCAGUUCUAACGUUCUCAUCAUAAAAGAAGAUUUAUCUUUGUUUUGUUCCUGAAUACCCUCCAUGGCAGUUUGAAUAAGUAGAUAAUUAAAACGUGAACAAAUUGGAAAAAAUGAUUUUCAAUCUGUGCCUUAAACACUAAUCAAAGACAGGGAAAAAUUGCUGCUAGAACACGGCCUUACAGCCCAGAAACCACACAGCACCUCAGUGAUUCCGGCCACGAAAGAGUUUUACAAUACAAAGUUAUGUCUAUUUUAAAAGGUGGUGCAUAACUUGCAAAAGCUUGGAAACGGCUACUCCUCAAAUAUAGAUGAGGAGCAUUAUAAUUUACAGGUUCAUAUCUUACUUUUAGAAGGCUUGAAGUAGCCCCCCAACUACUAGUACCUUCAUUUCUUCACAAGAGUUUCACCCACAGCUUUCUUAUCCCACUGUUCCACUAGUCUAGUGCAUCUACAGAAUUGCAACUGAGGACUGCUACCAUUACUUUUAAUUUGGCUACAUUAUGGCAGACUCCUAGAAACACCCUGCUGGUUAGGAGACCACCCACAAGACUGCCCACGUCAUAGAUUUGAUUCAAUGCAGCUUUCCUGGAUUAUCUGGUGGAUGUGUACAACAGCAAUGUUGCAAAAUGUACUCAGCUGCAUUUCUAAAACAUGGCAUUCUGCGUAAAUGAUAUAAUGUUUUCCCAUGGUCAUUUGGCAUUACUGUUUCCGUCACAUGAAAUAGCUCUUGCAUACUUUUGCCACCUGGUGGCCUACAAUGAUAUAUUCAGUUUUCUGUUGGUAAUUCGGUUUUUGAUUUUGUGACCCUUUGAACUUUACAUUUCUAAAUGUGUUUUCAUCCAUAGUUAGUUAUGCUAUUAUUAUUUUAAAUAUGUUACAAUCUUAUCUUAUUUUAAUGAAGGGAUGAAUACAGGCUGUUAAUAUAUGCUUGUUGUUUAGUUACCUGAAGAAUUAGCUGGUGACUGCUGGAAGAGCACUUUGGUUUUCUCAAUGUUCAAUGAGAGGCCAAAAUUCUGUAAAGGUGUUUAGAGUGGCUUGUAGGUCUUCUUCUGAACGUACACAGACAAUGAUGUCAUCAGCAUAUUGGAGUUCUAUAACAGAUGUUGUCCCCUUGGUUUUGGCUUUCAGUCUGCUGAGGUUAAAUAGCUUGCCAUCUGUCCAAUAGAUGAUUUCUACUCCGGUGGAAAGCUUCCCAUCAACAAGAUAAAGUAUAAUAGUAAUGAAGAUGGAAAAUAAGGUUAGGGCAAUAACACAUCCCUGUUUGACACCUGAUUCCACCUUAAACGUGUCACUUAAGGAGCCAUUGCUGUCCAAGACUGCUGCUAUCAUGUCAUCAUGGAGGAGCCAAAGGAUGUUCACAAAUUCGUCAGGGCAUCCAAGUUUUGUAGGAUGGUCCAGAGAGCACUGCAAUUCACUGUGUCGAAUGCCUUUGCAAGGUCAAUGAACAUCAUCAACUCCACUGGACUGGCCACAUUGUCUGAAUGCCUGAUCACCAUCUCCCAAAGCAGUUACUCUACUCCAGACUCAAGAACAGAAUGUUGGUGGACAGGAAAAGAGAUUUAAAGAUGGGCUUAAAGCCAACCUCAAAAACUGUGGCAUAGACACUGAGAAUUGGGAAGCCCUGUCCCUUGAGCAAUCUAACUGGAGGUCAGCUGUGACCAGCAGUGCUGCAGAAUUCAAAGAGGCACAAAUGGAGGCUAAAGGGGAGAAACGUGCCAAGAGGAAGGCGUGUCAAGCCAACCUGAUCGGGACUGCCUUCUGUCUGGAAUCCUAUGUCCUAACUGCGGGAGAACAUGCGAAUCAAGAAUAGGUCUCCACAGCCACCUAUGGACCCACCGCCAAGACACCACAUCUGGAAGACAGUAAUCCUCGAGCUAUGAGGGAUCGUCUGAGUAAAGUAUCUGUUAACAUCAAUAGUAUUUUAGAGAAAUAGUGAUGUGCAAUGCUAUAAAAAAUAAAAUAAAUAACCAUA